AGACCUAUAAAAAUGUUAUCCAGAUUGAGAGUAGUCGCAAGCAGAAGUCUGCCAGCAUGUCGGACUGUGCACACCAAAGAGAAGGGCAAAGCUCUUAUGUUAAAUCCAAGGACAAACAAGGUAUGUGAAAUUGAGGUCUCUGUAAUAUGGGGGCUGUAUUCUGUCCUAAACACGGUGUAUUAUGUUUAUCUAUAAACACUUUAUGGACUAACACUAUAUGUCUCCCUAUAAUGCAUUGCCGUUUUCAUUGUAUUUAUUUUUUUUAAGUGUAUAGUUUCUUCACCCAAAGAGGCUAGUUGCUAAUCUGAGGUGAAAAGUCUCAGUCUUAGUUGUAUUAGCCAAAAAGUUGCAAUUCUUUUGUCCGUUUUCCACAAUUCCCAAGUUUAGCUACAAAACUCUAUAUACAUGGACAUUUUAUGUGUGUUUGUGUAUAUAUAUAUAUAUAUAUAUCCAGCUACAUCUGUAGAUAUAGACUGAUAUAUAGCUGUUUCUAUAUAGAUGUAGAGGGAUGAUUUAUAUAGAUAUAGGUAACUAAUGACCUCAAAGCUUGCGUCUUAUCUGUUUGUUCCUAAACCAGUCAGGUCUUAUCAGAUUAGUUGUGUAUUUUUAUUUUUUUCAUUUUAAUUCCCUGUAAUCUGCUAAACACAAAUGAGCCAAUAUUAAGUUUAAAAUAUUGUCAUCCUCUACCCUCCAAUCACUGCAUUUAUUUAUUCAGACUGCUCUGGAGGCCCUCAGUGAGCUUAACCAGCAUGUUGUGUGAUUGUGCUGCCUUGGAGCAUAGAAUGAGAGAACCUUUAUGAAAAGUUCUAAUACAACAAAGGGCUUAUUGCUUUAUGUAAUUUUUUCCCUCUAACAUCACUUUAUUUGCAUAAAGAAAUACCUGUGCUUUUAAUUGGUUGAAGACCAUAACACCAACAUUGUAUUUGUCUAACGUGAUAAUUCUCUUAAGUGUGGAAUGUUGAAAAUACAAAAAGAAUUUGACAUUUUUGCAAAAACAGCUGAAUUACAAACAUGGCUGACUUGGGGAUUUUUUAUAAUUUAGCUACUGCAGCCUAACUUUGAAUUCUUUAUAAUUCAUACUGUUGUAAGCUGUGAAAGCAACUAAAAUGUUAUUCAAAAUGGCUUCUAGAAUGUAAACCUCGGCAUUGCUAAACAAAACACUGCCCGCAUAGCAGAAUGUUUCAAUCAAUUCUUUUUUUCUGGAUUUAGGGAAUGGCAUUUACUUUACAAGAAAGGCAAAUCCUUGGACUUCAGGGACUCUUGCCUUCCAAAAUAGAGACCCAAGACAUUCAAGCUGCUCGAUUUCACAAGAACCUGAG